rnacentral:pre_miRNA from 1 species
CGUUAAAAAUUUCAUUCAUUUGUACAGUUAAAAACUGGCGUGAUUGAAAAAAAUAAUCGAAAAUGGCAUGUUGUACCACAUGUACCUCAUGCUGAUGUAAGGAGCACUUUUUAUCAAUAGAAAUAGAUAGAAUUUUUAAUA